CUGGGGCCCAUAUACACACUAUCUGAGUAUAUCGCUUAAACUAAUAGACUAGUUUCCACUUAAAUACCAAUAUUGGAGUAGUAUUUUCUUUGAGUUGCAUAUAAAGAACUCUUAGAACCAAAACUUAAAUAUGUGGAAAGCCUCAGUGAGAGGAAAGUUAGCAGCUGCCUUAUAUUUAUUUCUUCAUCAAUCUGUUAUUCCCUGGUGCCUCUGCAAGGCUAUUUGACAGAUACAAACGAUAAUCACUAGAGAAAAUUGAGGGUCACUCUCUGUUGUCCACAAAUUAUGUGGGAUGGUGACAUCUCAUUCACUGUUCCGUUUUUCUUGAUCCUAGCUAUCUGUAUGGGCAUAUAUGCGUAUAAAUUAGUUAGUUAGAGAAAACAUGAAAGAGGUCUAAUUUGUGAUAGCAGAUUUUGUGAGGUAAGAUUUACGUUAUCCUCCAGAAGUUUGUUUUCCUCUCGCAGCAGUUUUUCCUGCAAAAAGGGGAUUGUCAUGUGCAGUCUAAUGGAUAAUUUAACAUGAUCUUAAUUCAUCCUAAAACAGUUAAGGAUAUCUGAUGAGAACUGUUGAUUACAAAGCUACACAGAGCUGUAGAAAGCAGGGAUGGCUAUUAACUCCGUCGACUUAAAAGAGCGGAAACAAUUCUAUGAGGUUUGAUCAAAUGAGAAGUGUAGAGUAUUAAAUCUGGUAGUCAAUUAAGUCAUAACACACUUUUACCAGCCUAUCAAGAAACUGACAAGGACAAGUGGAUGUUUUACGCCUCUUUAUAUUCCUUUUCCACAAUCUAUGUUGCUCAGACUUGCCAAAAAAAUUGUUGCACCCGUGGUGGAUCCUCGAAAAGUGUUCUACUUUUGGAGGGGUCCAACCCCACCUAACGGUAUGUCUGAAGACUCAGAGCAACAUAGUCCACAAUAAGCUACUGCCUGGAUUUGAUAGACUUUAUUAAGCUUAUGCAUUUUUUUAACAUUAACAUACUCAAGCACUAGUCCUCAGUUGAAACCAAUGAUGAUUUGUUCAACCCCGGAAAAGAGGAUGAGUUCAACCAGAAUUGUACAGCUCUAGGAGAUGAAAAGAUGCUACUCCCCGUGUUUCAAUUUGUUUGUUUUACUUUCCUUUAUAGUCCAUUUAAAAAAGAAUGUCUCUUUCCUUUUUUGCAACUCUUUAAAUCCAACUUUCUACAUGGCAUGUUUAAGACCA